rnacentral:rRNA from 1 species
GAUGAACGCUGGCGGCGUGCCUAAUACAUGCAAGUCGAGCGAACAGACGAGGAGCUUGCUCCUCUGACGUUAGCGGCGGACGGGUGAGUAACACGUGGAUAACCUACCUAUAAGACUGGGAUAACUUCGGGAAACCGGAGCUAAUACCGGAUAAUAUAUUGAACCGCAUGGUUCAAUAGUGAAAGACGGUUUUGCUGUCACUUAUAGAUGGAUCCGCGCCGCAUUAGCUAGUUGGUAAGGUAACGGCUUACCAAGGCAACGAUGCGUAGCCGACCUGAGAGGGUGAUCGGCCACAGUGGAACAGAGGGAGGGUCCAGCCUCAUACGGGAAGCAGCAGUAGGGAGGAUGCCGGGGUGGGAGAAAGCGGGCUGGUACAAUGCCUCGUGUGUGAUGAAGGAAUUCGGAGGGUAAAACUCUGUUAGUAGGGAAGGACAAUUGUGGAAGGAACGGUGCACGUCUUGACGGGACCUGAGGAGAAAGCAACGGCUCACUACGUG